rnacentral:rRNA from 1 species
GAUGAACGCUGGCGGCGUGCCUAAUACAUGCAAGUCGAACGAACGGACGAGACGCUUGCUUCACUGAUGUUAGCGGCGGACGGGUGAGUAACACGUGGAUAACCUACCUCUUAGAGUGGGAUAACUUCGGGAAACCGGAGCUAAUACCGGAAAAUAUUUUGAACCGCAUGGUUCAAAAGUGAAUGCCGGUCUUGCUGUCCCUUAUAGAUGGAUCCGCGCUGCAUUAGCUAGUUGGUAAGGUAACGGCUUACCAAGGCAACGAUGCAUAGCCGACCUGAGAAGGGGAAGCGCCACACUGGAAGUGAGACACGGUCCUGGCUCCUACGGGAGGCAGCGGCAGCGAAGCGUCCGCGAUGGGCGAAAGCCUGACGGAGCAGCGCCGGCCUGGUGAUGAAGGUCUUCGUGGCGGAUGACUCUGUUAGUGUUGAAGAACAUAUGUGUAAGUGACGGAGCACAUCGUGACGGUACCUAGUCAGGAAGCCCCGGCUAACUACGUG